AUAAAUAAAAUCUAGACAAGAUAAGAUAAGAUUUGAUAAAAUAAAAUCUAGAUGAAAUAAAAUCUAGAUAAGAUAAGAUUGGAUGGAAUAAUAUCUAGAUGAGAUAAAAUCUGGAUAAGAUAAGAUUUGAUAAAAUAAAAUUGUUUGCUCUCUUCAAGUCCGAGCCUAAUUCCGGAUUCAAGCCCAAUUGCUUAUAAUUCUCCUGAAAUUAAAUUAAAAACACAAAAUUAGUCCAGUAGGCCCAAAUGAUAAAACUGCAUAAUUAAUUUGACAAUUAAGGCUAAUCAAUAAUUAAAAAGGUAACAAAAAGGGUUAAGAAAUAGGAUAAAAUAAUGACACAUCACAAAUCUCUCCAGGAAUUCCCUCAGAGUGUAUAUUCUGUUUGAUUUAGUCACUUGACAAUUUUUGGAGUGACAACAAUGGAACCGUUUAAUCAAUCCAUUGAAAUCGCAGGGUUUGUCCCCCCCCCCCCCCUUUUUCAUUUAAAAACAUCGAUGGGUGAGAACUUUUGAUCUGCCUCUAGGUUUUCUUGAGGCUCAUGCACGGUGCCCCUCAUUGCCCUUGUGUAGGGCUUUGAGGUAUCAAUCGUUGUCUUUCGUCAUGACCUUGUCGCAGGGAACCUAUUGGGUGAGAAUUUAUGAUCCGUCCCUAGGUUCGCUUGAGGUUUAUGCAUGGUGCCUUUCAUUGCCCCAAUGUAGGGCACUGAGGUAUCCAUUGUUGUCUUGUUUUCAUAACCUUGUAGCGAGGAAGAAUGAAAGAAAUGGUUGACUCUCGAGAAACAUUUGAAGGAUUUUUUUAGUUUGACAGAUUAAGUCAAAUGACUCUUAUUCUUGAUAACUCACUUCUCUCUCAAAAAGACAAACUUUCAGGAAUGAUAAAAUGAGGUCACAUGAAUGUCUAUAUUUUUACUUGAAAACACAGUCAAUCAAAUGUUUUUUUAUUUUUUCUUAUUCUGAAACUUAUUGUUUUGAACUUUACUCGUCGUUUUACGACACCCCACCAACAUGCAGGACGAGUAAUAUCUGAUUGAACGGUCUUGGAAGUCAAAAACUCAGGAGUACAGGUCGCUUGAGCAAACAAACUAAUGGCUUACAUUCACAUUCCGGUGGAAGUUGAAUAAGCAAAGAUGUAAUUGUGAGAGGAUGAGAGAGACAGGGAUGUCAAAUUUAUCCAUCUUAUUUAUCAUUGUAACUGUGGUUUACAAUAAUGGCAUAAACUUGAAAAUCCUAAUGAGUCAUUAGAGACAUCUAGCAACAACCUUCAAAUUGCCCCAUGUGUGGCAUCUCUUGUCAAUGUCAGGCCCAGAAACAGCGCUGACAGUGGCAACUGCAGCCGUAUUGACCUCCAUUAUCUUCUUCAUGCUCAUCAUGACCUCCAUCAUUGUGGCCAUCUAUUCUUUCAUGGCCUCCAUGUCGGCCUUCAUCCGCUCUUGCACCUCGUCUACUUCAGCCAUUACUCUAGCUCUAGCAUGUGUUCGGUAAGGGUGUCGUAAAGUGCGUUCUUCCCUUUUGAUAACAAUGAUUAAGGUUUGGUUUUCAGGGAAAGAAUGCAAUGAGCAAUGCAACCAAUGAAAAGCAUGGAUGGAUGCGAAUGAUGCAUUAUUCGUGCUUUAUCGUGACUUUCUUUGUUUUGCAGAGGAAAAUGCAAGGAUCAUGCAUGAGCGAACAUGAAAACAAAAGGUAUGUAGUUUGUAGAACAAAAAGUAUGUUGAAUGCAUAUGCAUGAUGAUGCAAUGCAAAAAUGUGAUGCUUGAGUAUGAUAACUGAAAAAUGCAAGAACGAUAUGUUCAUUAUGAUGUCGUGAAGAGAGGCAUGACGCAAUCAAGGAAUAUGCCAGAGUGAGUUUUCUAUGUGCCCCUAAUUGAGGAAUCUAAUGGAAAUGAUCCAAAAGUCCCCUUCUAGUGACAAUUCCCAAGUGUGGUUUUAUGUAACCUUACUGUCUUCUAGAGAUACCAUCCUCUUAGGUAAUACAUUGUGGCGAUAGGGGCUAUCAGCGACAAUGCAUCACUAAAAGAGGAAAACUCUAGAUGAGGCUUCACUGUCAUCAAGCGAGUUGGAGACCCAGCAUGACCAUAGAUUCACCUCCACUCCUUAUGGCUCACAUAGACCCGGGCAUAGGGCCUAAUAUCUCAAUGUGUGUGUGAGGUGUAGGUGUCAUGUGUGUGUAGAAAAAAGGUAUUUCUAACUAUGAAUGUAAUUGAUAGACAAACACACCAAACACAACAACAUAGCAAAGGUUAUGUACAAAUAUGGACAAAAAACCAAAAAUAAAAGAAGAAGUCAUGAUGAGAUGUUGCACACUGAUUGAUUGGCCUGACUCUCUAAAAAUAGUCCCCAGCGGAGUUGCCAACUGUCGCAACCUACCCUUCGGCGGGAGGGCGAUGCGGGGCUCAUGGGUGCGCGGAGUCGCCACCAACGUUUAUUCAAGGAAAACGUCGUAUUAGCACCCCACGCGUCUGUCACAAGGGACGACAGCCUUCAAUCAAGUGUGCAAAUAUGACUUCAAAACUACGUAUUUUCCCUUUCUUAUGUUUUUAUGUAUUUUCCCUUUUUUAUGUUUUUUAGCUUUUUAUGGGUCUUUUGUAUUUUUUAUCUUUUUGUGGUCGACAAGGGUGUUUCCCUUGCUCCUACGUAUUCCUCAAUUGCGAUGAGAAAAUCAGACCUACGUAGUUCUUUCAGAACUAAACGUUGAUGAAGUUGUUUUUAUCUUUUUUUCGCAAGAUUGAUUUUAACCGAACAAAAGUCAUUUAAGGCGUUGGACCAAUAAACGAUCUUUUGAUUCUUUGAAAAGAGGAUAGAAUCGUUUAAGGCAUUGGACCUUUAACGAUCUCUUGGUUUUGAAAGGAGAGAAGCGUUAAGGCGUUGGACCAUUAACGAUCUCUUGGUUUUUGAAAAGGAGAGAAACGUUAAGGCGUUGGACCAUUAACGAUCUCUUGUUUUUUUGAAAAGGAGUGGUCGACAAAAGUGGGGUUUUUGCUCCUACGUAUCCUCGAUUUGUGGUGAGGAACUCAGACCUACGUAGUUCUUGCAGAAACGCGGUAAAGUUAUGUGUUGAUUUUAUGCUUUUGAACGGUCCAUCUUAACCGAUAAAAGCAAAGAGGAUCGUUUAAGGCGCUGAACCUUAAAAUGGCUUUAAGUGACUUUUGCGGACAAAGCUUGGUUUGUGAGUUGACUUUAACCUUAGUUUCACUUUGAUUAUUAAUCAAUUCAUUCAAGGAAACUUUCACAGAAAAAUGUUCGAUUGAUUUUUUUGAUUAUUUUAUUAUUAUUUUUUUCAAAGAUAUUUUGAUUAUUUUAUUAUUAUUUUGCUUUUUGAUUUAACCGAGGUUACAAUGCGAACGAUCGGUUAGAUUUUAUUUUAACAGUGAUCAAACGAGAUUACAACACAAAUGAUCGGUUGAAAUUCAUUUUAUCAAUUUAUUAGGCGAGAUAACGGCUUAAAUAAACAGUUAAAAGCUCGUUAAAAGCGGAAGAAAAGAAAAUCGAAAGUGAACAAAAUGAAGAUGAAAGCCAACAAAACAAGAAAUGAAUUGAAAGUCUCGGAUUUGAAAACUUACCAGUUGAAGACCGAAGAAAGCACGAAGAACGGACGAAGAACGGCGAAGAACAGUGGAAAAUCUUCACGGAAUUGCUCACAGAAACAUCUCGAAAGCGUUACAGAGGCACCUCGGCUUGGAUUUUCUUCACGGAAACACGUUUUUUCACCUAAAACAGAUGAAAUGCAUAGCAUAGGGGUUAGGAACAAUUUUACACAGCCCCCUUCCCCUAUUUAUAGGAGAAAAAGGGAGGAGGUUGCCGCCCAGCUUGCCCAGGCGAGCCGGUGGCUUCCUCAAGAAGCUUCCUAAUGCACUUCUCAAAUUACUAAGUUCACUCCCCCUUUUCGUACUUUACGAAAAAGUUACGAAAGCUUUAUGGAAGCAUAUCAGACUUGAUUUUCUUCUUUUUUCUCUUCCCUUUCACCAAUCUUGAGUGAAAUAUGCUUACUCAAGGUUUUGGAAAUGUUACGGAAGCAUUACAGAAGCCUCCGAAGCCAUUUUCAACAAAAUGGGGGGAGGUGCUUGCCGCCCAGCUCGCCUGGGUGAGCUGGUUGCUUACUCAGGAAGAUUCCUGAUUCAACCCCCUUUUUACUAAGUUCACCCCCCUUUUUCCGCUUUUGUGUUUUUGUUGAUUUCUUUCUGAAACAUCACGAAACUCACGGAGAUGGGCGUUAAGCUCUCCGAAGCGAUCGGUUUAGGUCCGUAUGCCAACAAACAAUUGUCUCCAGACAAAAUUAGGGCUUGACAAUCCAUUUACACCCCCUCCACUUUGCUAAAUACACCCGUUUUUCGUGUUUUUGGCCAGAUUCCAUGACGAUGGGUGUUAAACGUUUUGAAGUGGCCAAACAAGGUCUGCAUACCGACAAACAAUGGUCUCCAGACGAAAUUAAGAUAUGAAAAUAACAUUGUGUAUUAAUGUAGAAAUGCAUGGGUUUCUAUUGAUGACAGUGAUGGUGCAGGUUAAUAACCCUCAGUGAGGCUUGCAACAUACAACUAACCUAAACUACAGCUUAAAAAAAAGGGUCAAGCAUUUUAAUAAGUUUGUCUGCAAAUUCUGCCGUCAAAGUAUUGGAUAUAAGUAAGCCAUGCUUAAUUAAAAUAGCCUCCAUUAGACCAUUUGCAAUUCUUCUAAAAAAGGCUAAACAUAAUAACAAAAUUAAACAAUUUAUGUCCUUUUCACUUAUUUUGAUCAAUUGUUACCAACAUUGCUAGUAGUUUUGGGCAUAGGAAUCAGAACAUUCAAAAGGCCAAUGCAAUGGCCGUGGCAAUAAAUGCAACAAAGGAUAAUAUUUUGCAACAUUGGAGUUAAACAGACUAAUGCAGAGUGAGGUUUGGUCAACCAGAAAGUUGGAUUCAAACAAAAAUUAUGACCAUUUUGACAAAGGCAAGAGAGAGGAUUGAGGUUUGGCCUAUUGUUGAAAGUAAACAGUUGUCUAACACUAUGGACCAAGAUACUGUACAAAGCUUCUUGAAGCCAUGUAUGAAUGAAGAGAAGUCAGAGUUGUUAGAAGAAAAGUCAGAAUUGUUGACCAAAGUGGCAGUUUCCGACAAUAAUCAUGCUUUUUUUUUACAGAGGGAACAAAACUACCCUACAUUGUUCUCCAUAUGCUGACAUUAUUAUUGUUGACUUUAAAUUGAAUCGAUCUCACUGUUCAUUACAAGAAAAUAAAAUUUAUCAGCAAUAUCCUUUGGAACAUAACCACCUCUUAUGGCCAACACAUUCUUUUCAACAGAUUAGAGAAUUGAGUUAGCUAAAACUCUGAUCUGGCUGCCCUUCUAUUAGUCUGCACCAAUGACCAAACAAGUGAUGAAGAUUUUUAGGGACAAAAGUUGCAAGUUUGAUGAAGAUUUUCAAGGACAAAAGUUGGAAGUUUGAUUGUGACUACAGCCAUGACUAUGUCUCUAUAUAUAGAUUAGGAGAUAGUCUUGGAAAACCAUUAGGUACAAAAAUUAUUGAUGAAGAGAUAAUAAAGCUACCUACACAUAUAUGGAAGGUACACAAAUCCUUCGAAAAUGGAUGAGGGAAACUUACUUGUUUCUAGCAGUUCCACUGUGCAAGUGAUGGAAACAUAGGCACUUGCGAAUUGACAAAUGCUAUGAAAUAUAAAAUUGCCACAAGCUAACCUUGCAGUGUUGAAACAAAUCAUUAAUAUGCAACACACAACUGGUAUACAAGGUCUGAAUGAACAUAUGUUGGUUCCAUAUUAAAUGCAUUAGUGUAAAAUAGUGGAUGCAAUGCUACAUGUAAGGUUCAACUCAAUUAACAUUACCAUUCUUUAGUUAGUAUGACAAUCUAUUUUCUUGUCUUCAUAUACAUUGACUUGGAAUAAUUGCUAAACUUGUACCUUGCUUACUGAUUUCCUAGUCAAAUAAAACAUCAAUUACCUCUUCUACAAUUCUACUUUGAAAUUGAUUUAUAAGUGUUGUUUGCAUGGAAUAUGUAUCCACUAUACAACAGAAAAAGUGAUUAUAUUGUAUGAAAAUGAAGUGAAGCUCAAGUUGUAGGUAUUAAAUUAAUGUUGUAAAUUGUUUAAGUAGGCCGUGACUAUUUUGCUGAAUGAAAAUUCUAUUAUUUGUCAGGAGGAGGUGUGUGGAAAAAAAAUGAAAAUAUAAUUUCUUAAGCCUUCAUUUUUCAAAAUACGGGUUUAGUACUUUAGUUCCAUUACUAUUUAUAUGCAAUUAUACUGAUGUAGUGGAAGAUGACAAUUAGGUAUCACGUGGAAAUUAAUUAGAACCAUUAUAAUCUCAAACCAUAUAAAAAUUUCUCAUUACCUAGACUUUCCUUUAUGGCUUUUUUCUUCCUAUAUUAAUCAUAUUUUUUUUCUUAAUAUUAGGUGAUUAUAUGUAUUAUUGUGAUUAGUUUUAUGGUAAAGUGCUUAGGUAUCAAAUUGAUUAAUUAUGUAUUAUUGUUGUUGUCCAUUAAUAGGAUUGAAAAGAAAUUGGAAGAGCUGCACAUUGAGAUGGGUGAAUUAUGUGAGACCUGAUCUCUGUCCCCUCUUGAGAUCAGGUCUGACAUAAUGCAAGUGAGGCAUGGUUGGUUGGAAAAGUUUUUUUUUAUUUGCAAGGAUCUCACAAUAGUAGAGCCUUCAUGUCUAUGAUGGAUCAAAUUUGGAGAGUGAAGGGAGGUGUGGAGAUUAGGGAAGUGGGGAAAAACCUUAUCAGUUUUAAAGUGUAAGGUUGGAACUGUGGAUGAAAGUUUUAAAGAUACAUUUGUAUAUGGACAACCUGAAAGUCAAAAUAAAUAUAAAACUUUGGAUCUGUUAAAAGGACAGAAACCGAGGGAUGAUGUUGCCUGGUUAUGUAUGGGUGGUUUUAAUGAAGUAAUGGGGGCAGAUGAGAAGUAGGGGGUUGACAUAUUGAUGCAAUCCUCCCUAAGAAGGGACCAGUCACUAGAGCCAUGAGCAAGAGGCUCCAAGAGGAUUGGGCUAGAGCUGCAGAAGAAGGCCCUAGGGUUCUCAUGAACCUCAGGGUAGAUUUCUGAGCCCAUGGGCCAAGUUUGGGUCCAAUUCUCUUUGUACAUAUUAGACUAGGAUGUCAUUAUAUUUGGUCCUUGUAUUUAGGGAUCCAUAUUGUAGGUAGGGUACCCUAGAAAUAUAGGAUUUUUCAGCCCUUGUAUUUUAGGGCACCUAGACUAGUUUUUGUAUUAGGGGUAGUUAUGUAAUUUCACAUGCACUAAGUGAAUAUUUGAUGUGUGUGGUUGGAAAUAAAUUUAAUUGAAUUGGUAGAAGCCCAAUCCAAUUAAAUUUUAGAGGGGGAAGUGAGCAUUUGCUUACUACACCCCAUUGCCACAUCAUAUAGUCACAUUUUGUGUUUGUCCUUCAUGCUUUACAUGCCUCAUGACACCUAAGCACACUUAGUGGAGAAUCUUGGAAUUGAUCUUGGAUUAGUGGGCUGAACCAUAACUAAAAUUCACUAAUCAUAAUUAGUGAAAUUUUGGCUCCAAAGUUUGGCUCCACAAAUUCAAUUUCAAAUUCAAGUGAAAUUUGAAUUGAAAUUCAAAUUUCACUCCAAUUUUGUGUGACACUUAGGCUAUAAAUAGAGGUCAUGUGUGUGCAUUUUUUUAAACUUUGAUCAUUUGAAAAUUAAACUUCAGAUUUCAGAGCUCUUUUAGAGCACAAAAUUUCGUGCUCUUCUCUUCCUCUCCCUUCAUUCAUCUCCUUCUUCCUCCAAGCUCUUAUCCAUGGCCUCCUAUGGUGGUGAGUUUCUUCUAGACUCAUCUUCUCCUUGAAGUGGCGUCUCCUCUCUCUUCUUUCUCUAUUCCGUUGUCAUUCAUCUUCCAAGAAGCAAAGGAAUCCAUUGAUGAAGAAGAUCCUAGACCUACAAGCUCCAAAUGGAGCUUACAUCACAUAUGAACUUUCAGAAUGUUGAGUUGUUUAACCAAAUUGUUUUGGAUUGUUGUUUGAGGGAUUUGGGUUAUGAAGGGUAUAAAUAUACCUGGUCUAAUAACAGUUAAUAUGCUAAGAUAGUGGAAGAGAGAUUAGAUAGAUAUAUGGAAAGUGAUGUAUGGAUGAAUUGCUGGAAGGAAGUCAGGGUAUUCCCUUCGGCAAGAUAUACAUCUGCCCAUAAUCCAAUGGAAUUGGAUUUUCAAAAUCAGAUUCUGAAAAAGGGAAGAAAAAGGAAGAAAACAAAGAGGUACAAGUUUGAGAAGGUAUGGCUAAAUGAUGUGGAAGGGUGUCAAGCAGUAACUAAAGGAUGGUGGUGCAAAGGUGAGUUAGUGACAAGAAAUUUAAAAAGAGUCAGUACUAACUUUUGGAGGAAUGGAGGUUUCCCAUUUUGGAAAAAUUCUAAAAAGAGUAAAAGAUCUGAAAAAGAAAUUGCAUUAAUUACAAAAAAAAGAAGCAAAUAGAGGAUAUUAUUUUGCUGAUAGCUACGAAAGACGAGGAGUUGGAUGAGUUGCUUAAAUUGGAAGACGAAGUGUGGCUGCAAAGAUCAACAGGCAUUUGGUUAGAAGGGGGAGAUAGAAACACAAAUUCUUCCAUAGAAAAGCUUCUCAAAGGAAUCAAACAAAUAAGAUCAAAAAAAUAAGGAAUGAUGGAGGGAUGGUUUUUUAUGAUGAAGAGAACAUUGAAAAGGGUCUCACCGCUCACUUUGAAGCAACCUGUAAAUGUUGUGAUCCAAAACUAUAAAUGAGCUGGUUGAACUAGUAGAGGGAAGACUGGAUGAUGAGAUGAGGGAGAUCAUGAACAAAGAUUUUACUUAGGAAUAAGUAAAAUAGGCAUUAUUUCAAAUGCAUCUAGCGCAUUGUGGGAGAUGAUGUAAUAAAAAAGGCAUUAAAAGUAUUGAAUUAGAAUGCAGACCUAGGUAAAAUAAAUAAAACACUUAUUGUGCUAAUCCCUUAAGUGAAGAAGCCUGAGUUUAGGCCCAUAAGCCUUUGUAAUGUAAUUUUCAAGGUCAUUAUAGAGGCUUUUGCAAAUAGGAUGAAAAUUUUUUUGCCCUCUUUGAUUGGUGAAUCUCAAAGUACUUUUGUGCUGGAUAAGUUAAUAACAGAUAAUACUAUCAUAGUUUUUGAAUUUUUUCAUCACAUGAAGCAAAAGAAGAAAGGGACGAAAGGGAUUAUGGUUCUAAAGUUACACGUCUUAAAAGACUAUGAUGGGGUGGAGUGGGAUUUUAUGAGGAUGGUGAUUCAAAAUAUGGUUUUUGAUAGGCAUGAAGACCCAAAUGACAAGCCCAAAAGGAGGACUAAAACACCUCAAAAUUUGAAGGAUUAUGCCAAUUCUGUUAUUUUGUAGUACUCCACUAUGCUAUAAUUAGUAGUGAUCAAUUCUGUUAGAAAUGCUUUGUGCUUUUGGCAAUUUUGUUAUUUCCUAUAGUGCUCUAUUAGUGCAUAGGUGAUCCAUAUGACCCAGACAGUCACCAGACUCUCAUCUUUCAUCACAUAGUUCUUAAGGUCUAACCUUGUGAAUGUGUGUAUUUUCUGACAGCCGAGAACCCGAAUGCGAGAUAGGGUAGGUAUAUGCUAGUUCGGGAAGAAUAUUAUUAAUAUUAUUAUCCAAAAAAAGUUGUGGACACGUAUUGCAAUAAUGACAAAAUGACUAAAUGAGACCCUACACUAGUACUAUCCCAUUACCUAUGCAUACAAACAAGAAAGAAAAAAGGGAAUGAAUCCAUUCAGGAAAAUCAUACAUAAAACCAACAGUGUCUUACUAGUUACUGGGUUGUGGACUUUUAGUGAAGUGAAACAUGGACAUGAAGCAAGUUGGUAUAUUGGGUGCCAAAAUUUAUAAAAGAAAUAUUAUUGUUUUAACUUAAUAAUACUACUAUUAAAUGACUAUUCUGAAAUGAAUAUGAAAGAAGGGUGAGAGCAGUUAGUAGAAAAAGCAAACCUUGUGCUUUACGCCAUGUAUAUAUCCAUGCGGAUUGUUGUAAUUGCUGCCUUUGCUUUUAAUUCCUGCAACAACUGUGUCUGUGUGCUCCAACUACGCCAACUUUAACUAUGAACUGAACCUUCCCACUUCACCUUAAUUUCCCUGCUUGCAAUCAACACACAUAAAUGGGUUAUACUAUAACAAACAGACUUUCAAUUAAAAAGGGUUUAUUUGAAAGACAUGUUGUGAACCACAGCUAGCUAGCUAUAGGCCACCAAAACGUUUGACCCUAUAGUAGCCACAUGCACAAGCUAGCAUUGCUUUCAAUUAUUUUCAGUUAGCUGCCAUAGACUGUUAGUGUAGUGGAUGACAUUACAUUUAAAGCCAGCUAAGCUAAAACUGGUUUAAGUUAGUUUCCAAACACUAGCUUCUUUAAAGACAAUACAUUGGUAUGGGAAUGUGAUAUUGGUGAUAUAUAUAUAUGCUACCUCUAUAGCUCUGAAUCUGAUAGUCUGAACCAAUGUUGAAAAUUUCAUUCAUACAAAGGCAACUACUAGAGUCUUUUGUUUUCUUAUUUGGAUUCAGUGAAACUAAAGCAAAACUAAAUGCCCAAGCAGGAUUCCAAUUAUAGAUGUUGCAACAUAACAGAAACAACCUCAAAGGAAAUGUUUUUGAGUAAGUGAUGGGAAAGCAAGAAAAGUUAAAUUAAAACAAGACUAUAAUAUAAUACUUCACCAUGCAUGAACCUAAUAAUAAAUUAAUUGAUGACAAAUUGCAAGGGAGUUAAUGAGAUUUUGAAUGCUUUUAAGGGAAAGCAAAGAAAAAAAGGCGAGCUUGGAACAUAUAUAGCUAGGGUGCAAGAAAGAGGAAGCAAACAUAGAUUUUGGGUGAUCAAUUCUGUUAAAAAUGCUUUGUGCUUUUGGAAAUUUUGUUAUUUCCUAUAGUGCUCUAUUAGUUCAUAUGUGAUUCUGUUAUUUGCUUUUGUCUGUUAGCAGGCACUAAUACCUAUUUUCUUAGGGUGUAUCCUCUUGAAGCAAAAAAAGGGGCAUAAUCCGAGCUUCAUUUGGUCGAGCAUAAUGGUAGUAUGGCAUAUUUUAAAAUAGGGUAUGGUUUGGCAAGUUGGGGAUGGGAAGAACGUGAAAGAUUUGGAGGGAUAAAUGGAUUAGGGGGUGUGAAGAUAAUAUGUUGAGAUUAAUUCCUAGUGAGGGUUUGGAAGAUAUGAUGCAAGCAUAUCUUAUAGAAAAUGACUCUAGAAAAUGAAAUAGGUCCCUUAUCUUAUAUAUAUUUGAAGAAGGAUAAAGUGACCAAAUCCUUGCUAUUUCGUUGGGAUAUAGCCAAAGAGAUGAUAAGUUGGCUUAGGGGCUAACUUUAGAUGGAAAAUGCUCUGUAAAAAAUGGGUAUAGAGUAGCACAGAGGAACAACGGAAUGGUCCAUAGAACACCUUAUAUAUCUCAAUCAAGACAAGAAAUGGUGAACAUGCACCAAAGCACCACAGAAGAGCAAGGAUACUUGUAAUUUAUGCUCAAUGACAACUCUUUUGCUUCUUCUACACCAGAGACCUUAGCAGAAGAAGUUUUGUGAGAUGGUCUAUGGAACAUAGAUGAUGUUCGUGGAAAUUUCAGUGUAGCUAGUGCAGUAAGCAAAGUCGGUCAAUACAAUUUAGUUGCUCCCUUCUGUUAAUGUUUUUUUGGUUAAGCAAAGUAGUCCUAGGUAGCUAAUCUAAGUCAUACUUUCAUCAUAAGGCUCCAAAAGCCAGAAGCUUUGAGGUUUGGAUUAGUUAUUAUUGCAUAAAUUGUGUAGUAGAAGUAGUAAAUGAUGUUAUAUGAAAUGGAAAAUAAUAAAAAAUGAUGGAACAUAAUCCAGUCAAUUAUAUUGUUUAACCCGAAUUUUCUUCUCCCCAAAUUUGGAACAUAACUUUUAGAUAGUAAAAUAGCUAUUUUAAUCUAAGUUAUUAUUCUAAUCAAUUCCAUUGUAUUCUCUACUACUAAUCCAAAUAUAGCCUAAAAGAUAUGACAACUUCUAAAACUUCAUAAAAAAGAAACUAAUCCAAAAUAGCCUAAAAGAUAUGAUAGCUUCUAAAAAUGCAUAAAAAAGAAAGGGAAGGUGAAUGCCAAAAAAGUGUUGAUUAAUUCUAAAGGGUUAACAAGAAAAUUAGCCAAAUAUGAAGAGGGACAGAGAUCUCGUAUGAUUUGCAUGGAUUUCCCAUUGUUGUCUCAAUGGUGAAGAGGCCAUUAUGGUCGGUUCACUCUAUAGCAGCAGCCUAAACAUUCAAAUAUUCAAUUCCUUCCACUUUACACACCCACAACAUAGUAUAUGUAUAUAUAUAUAUAUAUGUGUGUGUGUGUGUGUGUGUGUGUGUGUGUGUAACAGACCAACUUGCUUCAUGAUUUGAAUCACAAACUAAGCAACUAACGGGCAUAAUGUUCGCUAUUACGUAAGUCCUCACAAUGUAAUCAGGAGGAAAAGUUGCUUACUCAAAGUAGAAGAACAAAAGCAACGAUUAUGACAAAACUAAUUCUAAUAAAAUGAACUAUGAAGGCCACAUGCAUACCUAAAUUGGGGCUGAGCCUCAGCAAAGGAACCAGUAGGUGACCUUCAAUCACAUUCAAACCAAGAUGACAACAGAUCGGCACUGGAGAUGGCGGAGCAGCCUGGGGUUCACAGAGGGCACAAUGCGACGAUGUCACGGGAGCGACAGCUAGGGCGAAGAAGCAAA
rnacentral:lncRNA from 1 species